CUUUGCUGCCCCUCGGGCAUACCAAGACUACAAACCGGCUCCAUUCUUUCCCUCACGUGGGAGACCAUGGCAGAAUCGAGGUGGACGUGGUCAACCCUCAUACAGACGCCCUUACGGUAAGUUCCCCCAUACGGGCAUUUUCUUAUUCAAAUGUGGGUGGCAGACUGGCACUGUAUUUCGAUAUGUGGGGACUGAUCACCACAGAUGUGUGGGUUCUGAAUACGAUCAAGGGUUUCCGCCUAGAUCUGUUAUCUCUCCCUGUCCAG